GUAAUGGUGUCUUUAGACACCACCUUUUGAACUUCAAAUUUUUUU
rfam:Picea glauca, whole genome shotgun sequence.